CCUACGGGAGGCAGCAGUGGGGAAUUUUGGACAAUGGGCGCAAGCCUGAUCCAGCAAUGCCGCGUGCAGGAUGAAGGCCUUCGGGUUGUAAACUGCUUUUGUACGGAGCGAAACGGUCUGCUUUAAUACAGUGGGCUAAUGACGGUACCGUAAGAAUAAGCACCGGCUAACUACGUGCCAGCAGCCGCGGUAAUACGUAGGGUGCGAGCGUUAAUCGGAAUUACUGGGCGUAAAGCGUGCGCAGGCGGUUAUAUAAGACAGAUGUGAAAUCCCCGGGCUCAACCUGGGACCUGCAUUUGUGACUGUAUAGCUAGAGUAUGGUAGAGGGGGAUGGAAUUCCGCGUGUAGCAGUGAAAUGCGUAGAUAUGCGGAGGAACACCGAUGGCGAAGGGCAAUCCCCUGGACCUGUACUGACGCUCAUGCACGAAAGCGUGGGGAGCAAACAGGAUUAGAUACCCUGGUAGUCCACGCCCUAAACGAUGUCAACUGGUUNUUGGGUCUUCACUGACUCAGUAACGAAGCUAACGCGUGAAGUUGACCGCCUGGGGAGGUACGGCCGCGAGUAGAACGUACGAAAGAAAGUUAGAGACGUGAGACGACGACGACGACGGACGGACGGAGGGAGNGG
rnacentral:rRNA from 1 species